UUAAGUGGGAAACGAUGUGGGAAGGCCCAGACAGCCAGGAUGUUGGCUUAGAAGCAGCCAUCAUUUAAAGAAAGCGUAAUAGCUCACUGGUCGAGUCGGCCUGCGCGGAAGAUGUAACGGGGCUAAACCAUGCACCGAAGCUGCGGCAGCGACGCUGAUGCGUUGUUGGGUAGGGGAGCGUUCUGUAAGCCUGCGAAGGUGGCCUGUGAGGGUUGCUGGAGGUAUCAGAAGUGCGAAUGCUGACAUAAGUAACGAUAAAGCGGGUGAAAAGCCCGCUCGCCGGAAGACCAAGGGUUCCUGUCCAACGUUAAUCGGGGCAGGGUGAGUCGACCCCUAAGGCGAGGCCGAAAGGCGUAGUCGAUGGGAAACGGGUUAAUAUUCCCGUACUUGGUGUUACUGCGAAGGGGGGACGGAGAAGGCUAUGUUGGCCGGGCGACGGUUGUCCCGGUUUAAGCGUGUAGGUGUGUGUUCCAGGUAAAUCCGGUUCACUUUAACACUGAGGCGUGAUGACGAGGCACUACGGUGCUGAAGCAACAAAUGCCCUGCUUCCAGGAAAAGCCUCUAAGCAUCAGGUAACAUCAAAUCGUACCCCAAACCGACACAGGUGGUCAGGUAGAGAAUACCAAGGCGCUUGAGAGAACUCGGGUGAAGGAACUAGGCAAAAUGGUGCCGUAACUUCGGGAGAAGGCACGCUGACACGUAGGUGAAGUGAUUUACUCAUGGAGCUGAAGUCAGUCGAAGAUACCAGCUGGCUGCAACUGUUUAUUAAAAACACAGCACUGUGCAAACACGAAAGUGGACGUAUACGGUGUGACGCCUGCCCGGUGCCGGAAGGUUAAUUGAUGGGGUCAGCGCAAGCGAAGCUCCUGAUCGAAGCCCCGGUAAACGGCGGCCGUAACUAUAACGGUCCUAAGGUAGCGAAAUUCCUUGUCGGGUAAGUUCCGACCUGCACGAAUGGCGUAAUGAUGGCCAGGCUGUCUCCACCCGAGACUCAGUGAAAUUGAACUCGCUGUGAAGAUGCAGUGUACCCGCGGCAAGACGGAAAGACCCCGUGAACCUUUACUAUAGCUUGACACUGAACAUUGAGCCUUGAUGUGUAGGAUAGGUGGGAGGCUUUGAAGUGUGGACGCCAGUCUGCAUGGAGCCGACCUUGAAAUACCACCCUUUAAUGUUUGAUGUUCUAACGUGGACCCGUGAUCCGGGUUGCGGACAGUGUCUGGUGGGUAGUUUGACUGGGGCGGUCUCCUCCUAAAGAGUAACGGAGGAGCACGAAGGUUGGCUAAUCCUGGUCGGACAUCAGGAGGUUAGUGCAAUGGCAUAAGCCAGCUUGACUGCGAGCGUGACGGCGCGAGCAGGUGCGAAAGCAGGUCAUAGUGAUCCGGUGGUUCUGAAUGGAAGGGCCAUCGCUCAACGGAUAAAAGGUACUCCGGGGAUAACAGGCUGAUACCGCCCAAGAGUUCAUAUCGACGGCGGUGUUUGGCACCUCGAUGUCGGCUCAUCACAUCCUGGGGCUGAAGUAGGUCCCAAGGGUAUGGCUGUUCGCCAUUUAAAGUGGUACGCGAGCUGGGUUUAGAACGUCGUGAGACAGUUCGGUCCCUAUCUGCCGUGGGCGCUGGAGAACUGAGGGGGGCUGCUCCUAGUACGAGAGGACCGGAGUGGACGCAUCACUGGUGUUCGGGUUGUCAUGCCAAUGGCACUGCCCGGUAGCUAAAUGCGGAAGAGAUAAGUGCUGAAAGCAUCUAAGCACGAAACUUGCCCCGAGAUGAGUUCUCCCUGAGACUUUAGGUCUCCUGAAGGAACGUUGAAGACGACGACGUUGAUAGGCCGGGUGUGUAAGCGCAGCGAUGCGUUGAGCUAACCGGUACUAAUGAACCGUGAGGCUUAACCUUACA
rnacentral:rRNA from 1 species